CAUCAAUCAACGGACAACGGCCAAAUUAUUUUAGAAAGCUUGAGAAAUCAUUGGCCUUUGGCCAGAUCUUCAAGAGUUCCCAAUUACAUCGGUAUAAAUAAUGAAACUCUACAAAGAAUAACUCAAUACAUAAUGAUUGCUGAUUUUAUUUGCAUUUUAAAUGACAGUAUAAUUGCGGGGGAAAACUUAAAUCUACAAAAUAUUUUACACUUAGAGUAUGUAAACUAAACAAAAAUAUAACUACAGUAGAACGUAAAAAUUAACAUUUAUGGUCUUAUGGAACUACACCAAACCCACAAGAACCUACAAUUGUCUUUUUUCUAUAAUAAUAAUAAUGUAUUUUAAUAUCGAACCAUUAAAACAAAAACAUAUAACGGAAAACUAAAGACUUAUAGCAACAAAAAAAUAGUGUUGACAACGAGUAAAUUAUUACAAUUAUACUAGUAGUGCGAAAAAUAUGAUUUUUCUCCACAAGCUAAAGAGACCUAUAUCAAUACAUGGGUCGUUAUUCUUCAAAAGUGUUUUUAAGCGAGGAGUUUCUUAGCCAAGGCAACGACGUGCUUGCUGCUGAUUCCAAACAUGUCCAUAAGAGCGGCAGAAGGACCAGAACGAGGCAGACCGUUCACAGCGAGUUUGUGGACUGAAAUAGAAGGUUCUGCCGAACAUGCAGCGCAGACUGCGUCUCCAAUGCCACCUGAAAAAGAAUCGGAAUUAAUAUCGCGCUGUGAGCAGAAUGCUUCCAGUUUGACACGACUUUUGGUAGCAAAAGCAGAAGUAUUAAAGGACAUUGGCAAUAAAAAAUUAGUUUGUCGCAU